rnacentral:rRNA from 1 species
UACGUAGGGGGCUAGCGUUGUCCGGAAUCAUUGGGCGUAAAGCGCGUGUAGGCGGCCCGGUAAGUCCGCUGUGAAAGUCGGGGGCUCAACCCUCGGAAGCCGGUGGAUACUGUCGGGCUCGAGUACGGAAGAGGCGAGUGGAAUUCCUGGUGUAGCGGUGAAAUGCGCAGAUAUCAGGAAGAACACCUAUGGCGAAAGCAGCUCUCUGGGACGGUACUGACGCUGAGACGCGAAAGCGUGGGGAGCGAACAGG